CACCACCAACACAGUAUCCACCACCUAUUCACGGACGUCCGCCACCUACUCAGCGUCCACCACCAAUUCAGUAUCCACCACCUACCCACGGACGUCCGCCACCUACCCACCGUCCACCACCUACUCACGGACGUCCGCCACCUACCCACCGUCCACCACCUACUCACGGACGUCCGCCACCUACUCACCGUCCGCCACCUAUUCAGUAUCCACCACCUACUCACCGUCCACCACCCACUCAGUAUCCACCACCCACCCACGGCCGUCCACCACCGACC
rnacentral:lncRNA from 1 species